CUAAUCAGCCCUGCAGUCACCUGAGCUCUCCCCACCUGCGCCUUCAUUCAUUACUCAAUCCACUUUGCGCUAAAUACAGCAAUCAGAUUUCGGUAACAUGCAGACUUAUAGUGACAAGUGGGCCAAUAAGUCGCUGAAAGUGGGUCCUUGCAAAAGAUCUGCAGUACAUUGAGAAUGAAUUAUCAAGGUUUGAAGAGCAACCAUACCCUUCGUCGACAUUGAAGAAUCACUGGGAUACGUGACCGGGCCUGGAGUAACGUAAUAUUAAUUAGGCCUCUGCACAACAUUUUAAAUAUUCCGGACCUAAGUCGUGGGAAGCCUUUACACAAUUGUAAGCAUCGGGACAAUAUCACCCGUGUUUUACAACUUGAAUGAACCAAUUCCAAGCAUUAUCCAGACAGGACAUUUUAAAACACCUGCCUCGCCAUCAAAGGUGAUCAGGAGGGUUCCAGCGCUCUACAAGUCUGAUAGUGUGGCUCACACGGCUGUCGGGCGAAUCCCUUUGUGGCAUGCCACAAACUGGGCAUGGAUUAAAGCGGGUCACAAUGACGAGUGUUAGAGCCACACUUGUCCACUGUGGAGAGCA